CAGAGCUCCAGCAGCAGCAGCAGCAGAGUGAGGCAGCAGCUCCACAGCCUUCAUUCACUCUCAGAUAUGUGAUGCAGUCUGGAUGUCUCGUCCUCUCUGGUGGAGCUGAAGUGGAAUUAUUCACUGAAAGCAGCUCUGAAUACAUUUAAUCCAGCAGAGCCCUGGAGUGGCCGAAGAUGAAGCCGGAGAAGAGGUCCAUUAAGUCUCCAGAUUCAAAGCUUUUGUUUGAAUCCAUUUCAGCACCUUCCUCAUCUUUUAUGGAUGUCAUCCUCCACUCGCUCAGUUCUUUUCUUCCUCCCAGCUUAUUGUCUGACUGAUAAGGAAAAUAGAUUCAGCUCCUUUGACAAAGUGAGAGACAGAACAGAGUUUCUGUGACCGACGCUACUGAAUAUGUUCAGUGUUUAGAAAAGGAAACGUUGCUCUUGUACCUGCUCUUGACUGAAAGAUGAUGACGGGGCAUUUUGUUGGAUCACCAUGACAAUCGAUCCUGUCAGUAUUCUCUGCUACAGCACCAGUCCACCAGCUGAUGGUCUAUGUAACGAGGCUCGGUGCUGUUCCUCCUCCUGUUGAGAUCUGACUCUGGAGCAAAGCGGCACUGUUUCCUCUGCUGUCUCCUCUCCACGUCUCAUUGGCUGUAGCUCACAGCUGUUUAGUGUCCAGAUAACUGGAUCGCUUCAGUUACCGAGUGGAGAGUUUGUGAGGCGGCGUAUGCUGGACUGGACCCAACAUGUGACAUACGCAGCCCUGUACACAGCCGUACAUCUGAUACAUAACAAGUCUCCUGACGGUCCUGAGAGUCAACAUGAUAUACGUUCAUUUAUGUUCACACUGUGACAGCAUUCUUCUCUGGAAGAUCAGAGGUUUAAUUACUGUGUCUUUGCCUCGUCAUGAGCAGAUGAUGACAGCAGGAGAGAAACAGGUUUUUAUGUCAGAAGAAAUUCAUCUGCUGCCAGAAGGAGUCUUCACACUGUCACUGACUGUUCAACGUACAAUGAGAGAAGCACGAUGUGGAAAAUCAUCCCAACGGACAAUCUGCCCUGUCACACUAACCUGCUCCAGCACACAGUCUGAUCCCAGCACAGCGUUUGUCCAGCAGCAGAUAUGUGGGACACAUUCCAGCUGAUAGGUGACAGCAGAGAGCGAGCUGUUAAACCUGCUCAGCUGUGACAGAGAACUGAACCGACCUUUACAUUUCUCCAACACAGUAGCUCCACUCUGGAAGAAGGGAACGGUCACUUCUUGUCCUUUUGACCCUGAAGUGUCCAUAAUUCAUUCUCAUUCAGAUAAUGAAAGUGUUAACUGUGCAGGGAGCAGCUUUGAUGAAGCUCUCAGCAGAGAGAAACACAGUCACAGGAAACUCCAGGAACAAUUCACCACACUGAGCAUCUGUCUGCCAGAGUGUGUGUGACUGUCAGCGAGCUGUCAGUCUGCAGGGAGUUCAGGCCAGCUCUUCUCUCUGCUCUGCUGCAAACAGCCAGGCUGUUUCCUGACGCCUGUCACAGGACCAGAUGCUCCUGUUCACAUGAUCACUACAAGCUCCGUCCUACCAGCCACCCCGACAGCAGGGAGCGCUGGGUGAAGAGGAAAUGUUCAUGUCAGUGUCGUUCUGUCGGCCUGCAGAACGAUGAUCAUAAGCUUCUCUGACAAACACAGCAGCCAUGAUAAAUGAUGAGCAGCCUCGUUAGAGGAAGACAGAGGAGGUGGAACAGCUACCUGUGAUUAUAAUGAUACUCAGCAGAUGAAGAGCACUUACACACUGAAAAAAGAACAAUGAGAGCAGCUUGUUGACUUCAGUGAGAAGCUAAAAGACCAGAGUGAAGCUGAAUCAAAGAGUGAAGCAGAUGCUGCUUCUCAGACAGAGACUGGUUCACACAGAUGUUUACUACGACACAUACAUGAUGGUUUUAUUUUGAAAGAAGCCAGUGUGACAGUUACAAGUGGUUAUAUGAACCCUGCUGUCUUUGAGUAACACACACAGUAAUGCGUGUGUGUUGGAGGCAGGUGGCAGCUUUUGUAUGUUGGCACAGUUGGACGUCUCAUCAUCUGGUGUGGGAAUCAUUUUACAAAACAUAAAUCUUAUCAGCUCUCCAUUUGUAUUCUGAGCACAGUUCAGGUCUCGUGAUCAUGUUCAGAGUUUGUGCUGCUCUGACAUCACAGUUACAUGUGAACUAUUGACACUGUGACGUUUUUGACUCAUUCUAACUCUAACAGAUGAUUCACAGCACAGUGGGACACUUGGUCCACCGUGAGUGUUGACAUCUGACUUUGGACACAAGAAGAAAUCUCACUGGAUGACAUGAGGGCUGGUGUCUCUAAAGAAGAGAACAAUGUGAGUUAACAGAGACGGAAUAAUAAAUCUCUGCCUCACUGUCUUUAAAUUACAGCGUUAUGUUUCUUUGCUGUGAGUGAACCAACAGCUGCUGCGUCACUUCAUAAACGAGAGAACGGAGGAGAGAAGAUGAUCGAUAGCCACUGAGAGGAGAAUAGUGGGAUGUUGCUGUGACUGUGGUCUCAGUGUUCAGUCGUCUGAAACAUCAACAGGUUUAGAUAAACAGUCGCUGAUGUGAAGGCUCAUUCGUUUAAAGCUGCACAUUAAUGAUGUCACAGCAGAAACUCUGUCAGAAAUGGACUGGAAUUCUAUUUUCACACAGACAAAGAAAACCUCACUUUAGAAAAACACAAACAACACAUCAUUAAAAUGUGGGCCGGUGUGACUCAAAGGCUUUUUCAUUUGUUAUCUGUUCUAAACUUCAGAGAUACAGCAGGCCGCUGAGAACUGAAGAAAAAAGAACAGAGGUCAGAACCAGGACCCUGAGGACGACCCUCCACUGGAACUCUGGACCUCUCAGGUACUGACAGCUUGUGCAGCAAACUCCACCUGAACCCAGCAGCACUCUGGACGACCCAGUAUGUCUGAACCCUCCUACUGCAGACAUCCUGCCCUGCACACAGACAGCCUGCUCUGCCUGCCUGAUGUAACUAAAUAACAGCUCUGGUGAAAAAGUUCUCCUUGUUUGGGACUUUUGUUCAGCUCUCAGAAUGUUUGUUUCUCUGGAGAUGUUUCUACUGGUCACAGCAGGAGAAGCACAGGUGUGAUUAAUCACACUAACGAGGUUCUGUUCCACUGUAGUAUGUGGUUCAGUCAGUGAGAGAGCAAACACACUAACAGAGCCCAGCAACCAGCGUUAGUGUCAUUAAUGACACCUGACACUUUCCUGCUGCCACGUCUCACAGUAUGAGCCAUGCAAAAGUCACAGAACUGCUGGUGAAAGAUUCAACUGUGUUUGCUGAGUUCUUCUCUCAAUACAUGAGAAAAUUCAUCUGUCACUCCUCAUCCUGAUGUGUUUGUUCCUGUAAAUGUUGUCUCAUUAUUAUUAUUAUCUAUGAAAUGAGAUGGAACACCUGCAUGUUUUAGUCAUAACCAACCGGCUUGUUGGAGCAGCAGAGGAGGAGAGAGACGGUAACUGACUCCGGGUUUCUCUAGACUGGAAUCUCUUCCUGAACAGAAUAAAGCAGAAAAACAGCUCAACAGCUGAAAUAAACAACCUGCUGAGAAGCAGCAUCAUGAUCAAGGCAGGAGGAGACGUCAGGUUUAGGAGCUCAUAAUCAAAGUCUUAAGAACGAACUAAGAAGAGGAGCCGAAGUUGUAGAGAGAGGAUGAGAAUGAGGCUGUGUGACCUGGAUGAUGGCCUAAAGCUUUAAACUAUAACAAAAUACCACAUUCACUUUUAUUUUGGCCAGUAGAGAUUUAGUAUUACACAGAGACUUGACAACAUUAUAAUUGAUCAGUUUCAACAAAACAUUAGUACUUUGACUUCAACCCAAAUUUAUACUGAAGAACUGUUUGUUAUCAGUGUGAAACUAAAACACAGCAUUCAUUCAGUUUCUGCUUUGGUUCAAAUUAAAGGCAGUGAAAAGCUCAGCUGCAGUCUGUGUGUGUGUGUGUGUGUGUGUGUGUGUGUGUGGGGUCCGUCCUCGACCCCCCACUGAGCCGCUGAGGUGGAGGCUGUUCAAAUAACUGUAAUUAGGAGGAAACAGCUCAGUGACAGGGCUGCU